rnacentral:rRNA from 1 species
CCCCUAGAUGUUCUGGGCCGCACGCGCGCUACACUGAACAGUUCAACAAGUCUUAACCUUGGCCGAUAGGUCUGGGUAAUCUUUGAACGCUGUUCGUGAUUGGGAUAGACCUUUGCAAUUAUGGGUCUUCAACGAGGAAUUCCUAGUAAACGCAAGUCAUCAGCUUGCAUUGAUUACGUCGCUGCCCUUUGUACACACCGCCCGUCGCACCUACCGAUUGAAUGGUCCGGUGAAAUCUCGGGACGGCGGCUUGGUCGCUUGCGUCCGACUGCUGAAACUUGAUUAAACCAUAUCAUUUAGAGGAAGGUGAAGUCGUAACA